rnacentral:rRNA from 1 species
GACGAACGCUGGCGGCGUGCUUAACACAUGCAAGUCGAACGGUAAGGCUCCAGCUUGCUGGGGUACACGAGUGGCGAACGGGUGAGUAACACGUGGGUGACCUGCCCUGCACUUCGGGAUAAGCCUGGGAAACUGGGUCUAAUACCGGAUAGGACCGCACCGUGAGGGUGUGGUGGAAAGUUUUUUCGGUGUGGGAUGGGCCCGCGGCCUAUCAGCUUGUUGGUGGGGUAAUGGCCUACCAAGGCGGCGACGGGUAGCCGGCCUGAGAGGGUGGACGGCCACAUUGGGACUGAGACACGGCCCAGACUCCUACGGGAGGCAGCAGUGGGGAAUAUUGCACAAUGGGCGGAAGCCUGAUGCAGCGACGCCGCGUGGGGGAUGACGGCCUUCGGGUUGUAAACUCCUUUCACCAUCGACGAAGGGUUUCUGACGGUAGAUGGAGAAGAAGCACCGGCUAACUACGUGCCAGCAGCCGCGGUAAUACGUAGGGUGCGAGCGUUGUCCGGAAUUACUGGGCGUAAAGAGCUCGUAGGUGGUUUGUCGCGUCGUCUGUGAAAUUCCGGGGCUUAACUCCGGGCGUGCAGGCGAUACGGGCAUAACUUGAGUACUGUAGGGGAGACUGGAAUUCCUGGUGUAGCGGUGAAAUGCGCAGAUAUCAGGAGGAACACCGGUGGCGAAGGCGGGUCUCUGGGCAGUAACUGACGCUGAGGAGCGAAAGCAUGGGGAGCGAACAGGAUUAGAUACCCUGGUAGUCCAUGCCGUAAACGGUGGGCGCUAGGUGUGGGUUUCCUUCCACGGGAUCCGUGCCGUAGCUAACGCAUUAAGCGCCCCGCCUGGGGAGUACGGCCGCAAGGCUAAAACUCAAAGGAAUUGACGGGGGCCCGCACAAGCGGCGGAGCAUGUGGAUUAAUUCGAUGCAACGCGAAGAACCUUACCUGGGCUAGACAUAUACAGGAUCGCGCCAGAGAUGGUGUUUCCCUUGUGGCUUGUAUACAGGUGGUGCAUGGUUGUCGUCAGCUCGUGUCGUGAGAUGUUGGGUUAAGUCCCGCAACGAGCGCAACCCUUGUCUUAUGUUGCCAGCACGUUGUGGUGGGGACUCGUAAGAAACUGCCGGGGUUAACUCGGAGGAAGGUGGGGAUGACGUCAAAUCAUCAUGCCCCUUAUGUCCAGGGCUUCACACAUGCUACAAUGGUCGGUACAGUGGGUUGCCAGUCCGUGAGGGCGAGCUAAUCCCGCAAAGCCGGUCUCAGUUCGGAUCGGGGUCUGCAACUCGACCCCGUGAAGUCGGAGUCGCUAGUAAUCGCAGAUCAGCAACGCUGCGGUGAAUACGUUCCCGGGCCU